AAUUCACAGGAGGGCUAAGGGUAAAUAUUAUUUUAUACUCUCAAAACAUAGACUCAAGUCUGCUAGAAAGCCUACAAACAAUGAUUUUAUAAACACAAGAAUGUCUUCAGCUACAAAUGUCAACAGGCAGUUUCAGAACUGUUGCCAGCCCCCACUGCUGCACUAGGAAAUCUGUUCUCUGCUUGUUCCUGCAAAGUCAGCCUGCAGACACGUCUGCUUGGGCUGGGAGUGGACCCUGUUAUUCUCAACUCACUACUGCUGACACACUGAACUCCUAUAAUGGCAAGAAUUGGACCCUCUGGGUCUCACUGUGUCACCCAGGCUGGAGCGCAGUGGCACAAUCUUGGUUCACUGCAACCUUCGUCUCCAGGGUUCAAGCAAUUCUCGUGCCUCAGCCUCCCGAGUAGCUAGGAUUACAGGUGCACACCACCAUAUCCAGCUAAUUUUUGUAUUUUUGGUAGAGACGGGGUUUCAUCAUGUUGGCUAGGCUGGUCUCAAACUCCCAGCCUCAGGUGAUCUGUAUGCCUUGGCCUCCCAAAGUGCUGGGAUUACUGAUUUGAGCCACCACGUCUGGCCACAAAAGUUUUUUUUCUUGCUGCUUGUUCAUGAAAGGUCAUUCAGGGACUCUGCUCCUAUGUCACUGUGAUCUUUAUUCCAAGACCCAGACCGAGAGACUGGACUCUACCAGAUAAGGAGGUAGAGAGAAAAAAAAGGGGAUGGCAAAGCAUGUGCUGGUUCUUAAGGACUCUGUCAGUAGCUGAAAUUGCAUUGGAUAAAGCAGAUCACAUGAUCACAUCUAGAUUUAAAAGGCUAAGACAUAUAAUCUUUUCUUAGGAAGGAACGUGGAAUACUGUCAAGCAAUAACAUAGUCUACAACUACAUUUAACUAGAGUGUUACCUUUUACAGAAUGACUCUUAUGAGAUUACGUCCCCAAGAUAAACUUUCAUUAGCAUAACUGUCCCCCAUCUCAGCAUCUGUGAGCUUCAUCCUACACUAACACUGUCUUCCAGUCUUUGCUUCGUUUCCACCUGCUCUUGCUUGAACCUCCUGCUUCAGCCUCCCUGCCUUCUCUUUGCUUCUAGCCUCAUCUUGGCUUGUGAUGCCUUAGUUUAUCUAGUUUAAUUAGUCUCUGAUCUACUGAGCCCUGUUUUGGAUUAUGUCUUGUCUCCUUUCUGGCUCAGCACAAUACAGCUGUCUAUUUAGCAUGUUGCUCUUCUCAUGCUGCUCCAGAACUGUAGAUCAUUCCUAAUUGGCAAUGGCACAGUCUGACAUUUCCAGAUGUACUCCUGUGUCCUGGCUCCAGUCCUAAUGAAUCAGUUAUUACAGCCAGUAUCUCACAGGAGCCAUACCAUCCCAGGACACAUAGUAUUAUCAUUGCAAUUUUAUAGCCAUAUAGACAAGAUGUGAGGAGGUUAAGUUAUUUACCCAGGAACACAGAGAUGACAUUAAAAACAUUUUUGCCCGCUUCUCACUCUUCUUCAGUGUCUACAUAAAGAACCAGGGCACAUGUCCUUGGGACCUCUGGAGGGUGUGUCAUGGAAAACAAAUAAAAAAUUUUUAAAAACCAUGGCAGGUCUCAACAUAACUCAAAGUUUGAUAGGAGCCUCUGGAAGAGCAACGACAUUCAUUUCUCAGUGAGUGGAGAAGGUGGAUGUGGACAUUGAAAGAGACUGCAUCGGCUUUGGAGUCUGAGAAUUGUCUCUCUGGUCUGCAGAAAUGUUCCAGUAGAGUAGAUGAAGAUUAAGUGUGGCCUGGGUGAGUAUGACAGGUGGGUGGCAGGGAGGGAGCUUGAUCUCCACUAUCAGGCAACCAUUCCUUGGGGCUGAGAUCCUUAGAGAAAAGUUAUUUAGGAGGUUCUUUUUCAUAUUUCUGACCUACUAGCAAUAUCCAAGAAUAGAUUACUAAUUAGAGAGUGUUUUUGUUUGUCUCCUCUGUUUCUCCUGCGCCAUCUUUUGCUGUUUCAUUGCUUUCUUCUGACCGGAUAGUACCUCUGAAAUCUUUCUUCUCACCACCCUAAUCUUCACCAGCCCCUCUGCUGGACGCAGGUAGAAUUGAGCUAAUUUUUAAAAAGCAGCAAUAUUUCUAAUAAGGUGUAAGUGUUAGACUCCUGGGGACCCCACAAGGUGUAAACAUUGCUUAAUAUUUCUGCUUCUUCAUUCUUAGAGGACAACACAAGCUUGGUGCCUCCCCGAGAGCAGAGUAAAAGCUCCUCACAAAAAACAAGAUAAACAAACCAACCGAAAACCCACACCCAAAGUCAGCGUUCUCCAAUAAAAUUAGCCUGUUCACAAUCUUGCAUGGAUUUAAAGAGUGUUCAGGCUAACCUCGAAGUGGCCACCGAGUAGCAAGUCCACUAACUCAACAAGUGGGCAGCUGAGUCCUCUUGGUCCCUUGCUACUAUGCCCACCCCUUACAUUUACACAGUUGAAUUUUCUCUUGAGUUAAAAUGCUGCAUUACAGGUGGCUCUGCACUCAACAUAGCACUGGGUCAGGGGCUGGUUGGGGGUUAGGAUAAAUUGUCUCACUUAAAAGUCCACAAAAAUCGUUACCACUUGAUUUAAAGAAGAAAUUUUCAUCAACGUUUUCCAUGUUUGUGUUUUCCAUUAUAAAAUCAUAUCUCAAAACUGUACUCUAAUUAGUGUGGCACCAAACGACAGCUCCACAAUCCAUCUCAGUGAUGUUGCCCUGCAGGAGGCAUCAACAAAUAAGGCAAUCAAUGCUUUGCUGCUUUAAGGAUAUGGAGCUCCUUUAUUCCAGGAAGAAUAUUGCUGAGUCUCGAGCUACAUCACAACUAGAAUGCAAACAUGCUGCAAUUUGGAAAAAAAAUUGAUACCAUUUUAGACAUAAAUCAUUCAGAGCAGUGCAAUCUCCUACUGAGGAAAGAGGAUGGAGAGUUACUUGAAGACUCCUGGGCCCUUCAGUUGUAAUCUAUGGGAGGCAAAGUGGUGCAAGGAUCCUGCAGAUCUGCAUUUUUACCCUGACCACGGGGCAAAGUUGCCUUAAACAAGUCAGCUCAUGGAUCCCACUUUCUCAAGUUUUUAAAAUAAGAACACGCUAAAUAGACCGAAAAUUGUAUGAUUCCAUCUAUAAAAUGUCCAUAAGAAAACAUUAUCACUCUCUUCUCCUGCACGGUUGAGCUUUCCAAAAUACUCAGCAUGUCCUUCAGGAUCAUGGGAGCAAGUGCAAGCCCUUUAAGAACUCCAUCUUCUAGCAAAGAAUAGAUCCACCAGCAUGUCAGGAGGAACAUCAGGAGGGAAUUUUCAUCUGGAAGAUGCAACUGAUUUCUUGAGUUUCCAUGGACAUUUUUUAGGAAAAUACCUUGCAGUAUUGCCUCACAGUCUACUUCUGUCAAAUGUGGGUAGCUCUACAUUCCUAUUUGCCUCCAGUCUGCACCUGCAGUUAGAAGUCAUAUGUUGAAAUCUGAGGGGUGAAGGCUCUGAAACAUGGUGUGAAUGGGCGAGACAUCCUUUCAUUUUGCAGGAACUUCUACUCAACUCUAAUGUUCGUUCAGUACUCUCUAGAGGGUAGGAGUGGGGUGGGAGGUAGAAGACAGAAUCACAUCUGUUGUAGAUGAAGCACACUAUCAACUUUUAUACACAAUCCUACCAUUUAAAUUGAGAAUAUCAAAUAUCCAGAGCUAUUUUCUACAAUCAUUUGAGUAUCAAAAUAGCUCAAUGUUGUCUUUUGGCCAGUCAUAGGGAAUUAGACUGUUUCUCUAAAAUACUUGAGCUUGCUUAACCUCAAUUCUACAAAUGUGUUUUCAUAAACACAAAGACAAUUCAAAUCUACCAUGAUUUGAGUAAUUGGUUAACUGGUACAAUUCAAACAUAGUAGCUAGUGAUAGCACUGGCUAUUUUCCUUUCAAAUGUUGCUGUUUAUAUGAUGAAAACAAAGCUGAUGCCUUGCAAGCAAAAGUAUAUUCUGUGAAGACCUAAAUAAAAAGUCAUUUCAGGGUGUAAUUAGAAAUUGUGAAGCCUUCAUCAAUGUUUCCAGUGGAGUUUCUUGUGAUGCUUUGCUAGGUGAGUUUUUGCUACUAGGAUUUCACCUUAAAUGAUUGACUAAAUGCCUAUGUAUUCACGUGUCUUUACCAUUUUUGGAUUUGGUCAUAUUCAACCAUAAUGUAAUUUCAAAAGUACUUCUAUUGUUAGCAAUUGUCAUUUGUGCUGGCUUCUCCAGUUUGCUGACACAUUUCUUAAUGACUUCCAGAAACCACUCAUCCACUGAGGUCUAUUCCUCCAUCAGCCUGGCCCUGUUCCAAAAUGACCCUCCCUGGAAUACACAACAGCAAAGUCUCAAUAUAAAUAACUCAUAGAAGAAACUUCGUUUAAAACAAUUUAACAACUAGAUUACAGACAUAUAAAAGAAUGAGAUUCUAAUGGUAUCCUGAGAGUUCAUCAUUAACAGCAGCUUAAGACGUAAAGCAACUCAAAUCAUUACAUUGUUCUUCUCAUCUUACCUGUACUCUUGUAUACAUAAAAUAAGAAUAAUAUUAGUAUUUACUUAUGCCCAGAGUUGUGGAGAUUAAGUUAAAUUUAUAUAAAAGAGCUUGGAACAGUUCCUGGUACAUAGAAGUAUAUGCUAUCAUAUAAGCUACUACGUAAUGAUAAAUAUUACUUUUAUCUUUUUUCUUCAGAUUGUGUGUAUUGCACACUUUUUCUCAUGAUAAAUUAUAAUUUUUCUUUUCAAUUUAACUCCAGCAAAUUUAAACACAAAUAUAGUGUUAAAAACUAUUCCCUAUGCUCAAACUGGAACUGGAACACUGAACAAAGAUUGAGCUAUCUUUUAGAUCAUGUGUGUAUGUUGUUGUUAUUUUUUAUUGGAUUUUCAUUUAUAUGCCAAACACCUUUAAGGUGUUUUACAUGCUAUAAUUUACUUAAUCCUCAUAAAUAUAUUAGAUAUUGUUUUUUACAACUUUGCAGCUAAGGAAACCGAGACAAAGACUGAUAAUAUAACUUGUCCAAUAUCACACAGGUAGAAAAUGAUCAACAGAGGAUUCAGAUGGAGGCAGCUAGAUUCCAGACACUACUUGUUUAAUCUCUAUUAUUUCUUGUUAUGGAUAGAAAGUUCCUCAUUUCAAUUCCUGAGCUAACAGCUACCAUUGUGCAACAAUAAACAAGUCACUAUUAAAUUACUGUCAACUGUAUCUCAGCAGAAUUGCCCACGUUUAGAUUCUUCACAGAGGCACACUUUUGUUUAGUGAGCAACAUUUUACAUAUGUCCUAGAUCCCUAGUUUAACAUCAGUGAGAAGCCUUAUACUUGCCCAGACGUCCAGUAUGGAUUAGAGCAUGUAGCAGGCCUUUCAUACAUUUUUGGACCUAUGUGAUACCACUGGACUGUGAGCAUUACAUAAUUCAUUUGGAAUGAGGUGAUUUUUCUAUUCUAAUCAAGGACUCAUUUUCCCUGCUGGUACCUCUCCCUCCACCAUAUAUUUGGGGAAGUUUGCACUGAGUUCGCUGGAAAAGUGAAGAAUCAGGAUCAUUAUUCUUAAAGGCAAAUUCUUUCUUUCUCUUCUUCAUUUUUUUAUUUUUUGAGACAUUAACCACUAGACAGGACACUUAAAAAUGUUACAGAGAAGUAGAUUAUGGAAAACGCCCAUCUAAAAUUCUGUUCUCCAGAGCCGGGUGUGGUGGCUCACAUCUAUAAUCCCAGCGCUUUCGGAGGCCAACGUGAGUGGACCACUUGAGGUCAGGAGUUUGAGACCAGCCUGGCCAACAUGGUGAAACCCCAUCUCUACUAAAAAUAGAAAAAUUGGCCGGGCACGGUGGCUCACGCCUGUAAUCCCAGUACUUUGGGAGGCCGAGGUGGGUGGAUCACGAGGUCAAGAUAUCGAGACCAUCCUGGUCAACAUGGUGAAACCCCAUCUCUACUAAAAAUACAAAAAAAUAGCUGGGCAUGGUGGCACGUGCCUGUAAUCGCAGCUACUCAGGAGGCUGAGGCAGGAGAAUUGCCUGAACCCAGGAGGUGGAGGUUGCGGUGAGCCGAGAUCGCACCAUUGCACUCCAGCCUGGGUAACAAGAGUGAAACUACGUCUCAAAAAAAAAAAAAAAAAAAAAAAAUUACCCGCACCUGGUGGUGGGCACCUGUAGUCUCACCUACUGGGGAGGCUGAGGCAGGAGAAUCACUGGAACCUGGGAGGCAGAGGUUGUAGUGAGCCAAGAUCAUGCCACUGUCCUCCAGUUUGGGCAACAGAGUGAGAUUCUGUCUCAGAAUAAAUAAAUAAAUAAUAAAGUAAGAAAUAAUACAAACUUUUGUACUCCCACCAAAUGUUGAUCGGACCUCAUGAAUAAAAACAAAGCACAUCAGGGUUAAGCACUGAAAGUCUCCUCUGCCUCAAAGAUAAGAACCCAAAAUGACUAAGCAGGCAGAGGGGAAGACACUGACAACUUGGAUGUUAUGUGGAGAAAUCUUGGGAAGCAUUUCCACCCUGCCCAUCACUAUUUUAUAUUUGAAAGCCAAGACCCAGACUCUUCUUCAGCCAGAAAUCUGCCAAGCUCCCACCAGGGACCAUAGAAAAUACUCUAAUUCUAUUAGUAAUGCAUAUAUGUGUAUUAAAACUAAGUGGAAGAUUUUAGGUAGAAACCAAUUUUCUCCUCUUCUAUGAAUUCCAUUUUCUUCUUAAGCCUCAUUCACUAUGGGAAAAGCUGUUUCCUUCUGACUCGCUGUAAUUGUGGAGUCACCUUAGCUUGCAUUAGUUGUUAUGAUUAAAUACUAUUGAUGGAAAAGAACUCCACAAGUAUGAGAUGCCUUCAAAAUAUUAAGCACUAAUAAUUGAUUGUGGAAAAUGUAACUGCAGUUAAUUGGGGCAACACUCUCUUCACAUCAACAUUUAAACUUUUACUGUUUUAUAUUCUCAUUCAACAGCCAGCAAAUUUUUCCUGUAAAGAGCUUUGCAGGCCAGUUGGUCUUGGUACUUACCACUUAACUCUGUUGCAGUAUGAAAACAGCCAUAGAUCAGGCAUAGACAAGUGAGUGUGACUGUGUUCCAGUAAAAAGUUAUUUCUGGAUACUGAAAUUUAGAUUUUACAUAAUUUUCCUGUGUCAUAAAGCAUUAUUGUUCUUUUGAUUUUUUUCUUCAACAUUUAAAAAUGUAAAACCAUCCAUAGCUUAUAGGCGUAGAAAAACAGGUGAUGACUCUAUGCAUUAUCUGAGGACAAUAAUCAUAUUUUCCUCAUCUAAAUGAGUGAUAAUCAGAUGCUUCAAAUAACAGUAAUUUAUGUGAGCACUACGGGGUCACAGGAACUUGCAAAUCAAUACAAGAAAGGAGAAAAAUAGGGAAAGAAAUAACUGAAAUGUCGUACUCUUAAGAGUUGUUAUACUAUACAUAUACGAUAUAAGGCUUGUAUACCAUAGAACCCUUAAGAGUUGUACUAUACUCCUUGUAAAAACAUUUCUCAGGAAGCUAUUUGGAAACAUUGCCUUUGUUUUUUACUUUUAAAAUUUGGGUCACAGUUGAACAUGGAUUGCUCGGCAGUGCGUCAAGAGGCUGCUGGGCCUUUGCUGUGAUUAGUGUCAGAACUGAAAAGACGUGAUACAAGCCAUGAUUGUUAAUGGAAGUAACUGUUUCUCCUGUUAUCAUUCUGCAUGGAAAAGAGAGAGAAAAUAAACCUAAAUAGAAAGAAAAGAUCUCAUGCUUGUUUGUGCAUUUUGAUGCUAGCCCUAGUGUUAAGCUUUUUCAGAAUAAUUCAAAUAAAGCUACGUCUUUCUGAACCUUAAGAAAAAGAGAUUUCUUCAGAGUUGCAGGGUGCUGCUGCGCCCCAGUUAAACAACCUUAACCAUACUGAACUCUGCUGAUAACUUGUACUGUUUCUCUGGUGCC